rnacentral:rRNA from 1 species
GGGUAGGGUGAGUUAUGUGUGCGUUCGCUCCUUUAGGAUUGGGAUAUCAGUGUGAGAUGCGUUCUAAGACACAAUGUUCCGAGAGGUUGAUUAAUCUAGAGACAGAAGCUGGUCUCGGGUACGAUAAGAUUGAUGGUGGGGUAAAAGCCUUCCAUGGUGAGGAUCAGUAGCUGGUUUGAGAGGGUGAGCACCCACCUUGGGCUGCAGACUUUCACUUGCUCCUGCAGAGCGUCAGCAGUGAGUCAUUCUCCGCAAUGGGUGCAUGCUCGGUGUAGCAAUGCCGCGUGGCGGAGGAAGGUCUGAGGAUUGUUAACCUCUGUUUCUGAAGGAUGAUGCUCUGUGGGUAAUUCGGGAAUAAGCAUAGGAUCAUUCCUUCCCAGCAGGGGAGGUUAUAGGGAGGAUGCAAGCGUUAUCGGGAAUUAUUGGGCGUAAAGCGUCCGUAGGUGUUGAUACAAGUCUUUAGUCAAAGCAGGUUGGUUCAUGUCCUAAAGCCGGUGGAAGAUGUAUGCCUAGAGUUUGCUAGGGGUAGCGGGAAUUCUCAUCGUAGCGGAGAUAUGCGUCGAUCUUGGGAUGAACAUCGUUGGGGAAAGUGCGGUAUUGGCCGUAAAUUGCCACUGAGGUGACGAAAGCUAGGGGAGGGAAAGGGAUUAGAUUCCCCGUAGUC